rnacentral:rRNA from 1 species
UGGCGCACGGGUGCGUAACGCGUAGGCAACCUGCCCCUCACCGGGGGAUAGCCUUCCGAAAGGGAGGGUAACCCCCCAUAGCAUCUUCUUACGGCAUCGUAGGAUGAUUAAAUCGUUAGAGGUGAGGGAGGGGCCUGCGUCCGAUUAGCUAGUUGGCGGGGUAAGGGCCCACCAAGGCUGUGAUCGGUCGGGGACCUGAGAGGGCGAUCCCCCACACUGGCACUGAGACACGGGCCAGACUCCUACGGGAGGCAGCAGUAGGGAAUAUUGGGCAAUGGCGAAAACGCUGACCCAGCCAUGCCGCGUGCAGGAAGAAGGCGCUACGCGUCGUAAACUGCUUUUACCGGGGAAGAACGGGCUCCUUGCGAGGGGUUGUGACGGUACCCGGUGAAGAAGCACCGGCUAACUCCGUGCCAGCAGCUGCGGUAAUACGGAGGGUGCAAGCGUUGUCCGGAUUCAUUGGGUUUAAAGGGUGCGUAGGCGGCCGGUCAAGUCGGGGGUGAAAGACGGUGGCUCAACCAUCGCAGGGCCCUCGAUAC